rnacentral:pre_miRNA from 1 species
AGGAGGAACAGCCCCAGUGGCGGGGCAGCUCUGGAAACCUGGAUUCAGCUCCGGCAGGAACUCCGUAUGCAGGGCCUGGAGGCUCCGGGGCGGG